AACUUUAAAGGAAGUUAGACGGGGGCCCCGGCACAAGCGGUGGAGCAUGUGGUUUUAAUUCGAUGAUACGCGAGGAACCUUACCUGGGCUCAAAUGUAUGUUGACGUAUUCUGAAAGGGAUACUUCUUCGGACAAUAUACAAGGUGCUGCAUGGUUGUCGUCAGCUCGUGCCGUGAGGUGUCGGGUUAAGUCCCGUAACGAGCGCAACCCUUGUCCUUAGUUACCAGCACGUUAUGGUGGGCACUCUAAGGAGACUGCCGGUGACAAACCGGAGGAAGGUGGGGAUGACGUCAAGUCAUCAUGGCCCUUACGGCCUGGGCUACACACGUGCUACAAUGGUCGGUACAAAGGGUUGCCAAGCCGCGAGGUGGAGCUAAUCCCAUAAAACCGAUCGUAGUCCGGAUCGCAGUCUGCAACUCGACUGCGUGAAGUCGGAAUCGCUAGUAAUCGUGAAUCAGAAUGUCACGGUGAAUACGUUCCCGGGCCUU
rnacentral:rRNA from 1 species